CCACCAAAUCAAAGCUUUUUUCCCCAAUUUAGGUCAUCCUUUUUUAUGCUUAAGCUCUCUAAACAUAAAACCUCAUUUCAAUUUUGAAGAGUACUCAUGUUUUCAACCUCAAUUUCUCUAAAGUUCUUUACACGUUCAAAGCUCGAAUCAGCUCCAUAGCUCAUCAAUUUUGCAAAAUUGAGAUUCAUCGAGAGAUUUCACGAGCAAUGUGAAAGGGUAAUAAAAGUUUGUUUGACAUUGUUUUGCAAGAUGUAUUGACUAAGUAACUUACCUUGUGAAGAGGUGUGGGAGUGAGUCAUCCAAGUGAUUCAAAUCGAGGCUAUAUCUAGGAACAUCAUUAUGUUCCCAAGCCUAAUGAGGAAGGCAAUGUGGGACUAAGUUAUGGGAUUUAGUAUUAGACUUAUAAUUUUCGGGUUGUAAUGGGACACUGUGAACUAUUUAAUUGUUUGGUUUAAAACUUUUAUCAUUGCGUUA